GGGACUUUGGAGAAGCUGCGUUUUAUGCAGUGCCGAAGGUGAAAGCGCAUCGCGUGAAUCUCUCAGGCAAAAGGACAAAGU
rnacentral:ncRNA from 1 species